CAGCUGGCCGCCAGCUAGUACUCCAGCCAAUUUUACGUGGAAUUUUUGUUUCAGACAAGCCCACCUUAAAGGUCACCCUUAAAAGAGGCAAUUCAAAACCUCUCAGAAACAACCGAGUGCAUUCUUUGAUUGUUAUGCAGAAGCCUCUAAAAGGUGAAACGCUUGCAAAAACUGCUCUAAAAAAGAUCCUAAAAGAAAAAAAAGAAAAGAAUCUUUAGUAAAAGUUUUUAGCCAUCUGAGCAAAGAAACUUAAUUUAAUUCAUGUGCCAGAAAAACAAUUUGGAUGCAGCUAUUUUUUUGAGUUUUGUACCUGAGCCAUGGCUAAAAUUUUGAAGAUCUCUGUUAGUGUCUAUCUGUGUGUCUGUGUUGGAAGUCUCUAUGCUUGUCUGCCUCCAGUGGUAGAAUUUCUGAAGGAGCUCUGUGUAAUCGGCUUGAGAUGGCUCAUCCUUGCGAGGACCUACCGGGAAUAUGAAGCCCGACAUGCUGUGGUUUCUCCCAUCUCCAUUCUUGAGCGUGCUCCCUCCCCUGACCCCCAUUCGGCACAACAGGCUGAACUUGUUGCCCUGACUAGAGCCUCUUGUUUGGCUAAAGGAAACCGUAGACUUUUUUUACUGACGAUAGAUACCCAUUUGGAAUAGCCCACAAUUUGGGGAUGCUCUAAAAAAGGGUCUUUUUAAACCUCUACCGGACAACGUAUUAAAAAUGGGGAAAAAAAAGUAGCCUCCUUGUUAAAAG
rnacentral:lncRNA from 1 species